rnacentral:misc_RNA from 1 species
CUUAUUUUUCACAUAUGCGAAGGUUCGUUUGACGGUAUAGUCAUCACGCACUAUAGAUUUUUAUACAGCCGGUGUUGUCGGUCGAUUUGUAUAAUUUUUAUAAUCAAUAAAUUCUAUACAAAAUGGUCAAGUUAACACCGGACUUGAUCCAACAAUCGAUGCAAUACAUUAAUCCGGUCCGAGAUCGUGAAUUAGAUCUGCGAGGUUAUAAAAUUCCAACAAUCGAAAAUCUUGGAGCAACUUUGGACCAGUUCGAUACAAUAGAUUUCUCCGAUAAUGACAUACGCAAACUGGAUGGUUUUCCUCUCUUGAAAAGAAUCAAAACUCUCUUUUUCAAUAAUAACCGUAUAGUGAGAAUAUCCGAAGGCUUGGAGCAUUGUAUACCAAAUCUGGAGUGCUUGAUGUUAACAGGAAAUAUGAUACAGGAACUCGGUGAUUUGGAGCCUUUGGUGCCGCUGAAAAACCUUCAAAAUUUAUGUCUCCUACAGAAUCCUGUUUCUGCUAAACGACAGUACAGAGAAUACGUCGUUUACAGAUUUCCACAGUUGAGAUUGCUGGAUUUCAGAAAAAUUAAGCAGAAAGAACGAGCAGAGGCUAUUGAAUAUUUCCGCAGUAAAAGAGGCAAAGAAAUGGCUAAAGAAAUAGCUAAAAAAGCUAAAUCGCAAGCACCUGGAGUUGGACUCCCCGACAAGCCUAUGACCAAUCCUGAGGAACGGGCUAAAAUUCGCGAAGCUAUAUCUGAAGCAUCCUCACUGGAAGAAGUUCAAAGACUAAGCAAGCUCUUGCAAUCUGGGCAUGUGCCGGGUGAUGAGAAACGUCAAAAUGGAAACUCUAGACACGAAGCAAUGGAAGAAGAAGACGAUUGAAUCUGCAGUAAAAUUCGAAGUUUUGUUUAAGUUUAAGUUGAUAGAAAAAAAAGUCUUAACCGGACCCGAAGUCUACUCGAUUUCCACUGUAAUCCUCGUUACAAGCAUCAAAUAAUAAAUACAUUUACUCUUGUAA